GGAUUUUGAGCUGCAAAAUUUGUUUUUGCCUUUUAGUUUUGCUUUCUGUUUCUUAUAUGGUCAGUUAGUAGAUAUUGUGGCAUGGGAUUAGUCGCCCAUUUUUGAUAUUAACGUUUAAUUUUUGAAGCUUAUGAUGCGGACCAUUGAUUAUUGUUAUGUGGUUUUCUCAAUUGUCAUGAUUUGAGAAACUUUGAUCGAGUUACACUAUUUUUGCUUUUCGCAUGGUUUGUUUCUCUGCUGAGAAUUAUUUUUAUGAGUAAUGUUCUAAUUGCUCAAUUGUCAUGAUUUGAGAAACUUUGAUCGAGUUACACUAUUUUUGCUUUUCGCAUGGUUUGUUUCUCUGCUGAGAAUUAUUUUUAUGAGUAAUGUUCUAAUUG
rnacentral:misc_RNA from 1 species